rnacentral:rRNA from 1 species
AGAGUUUGAUCCUGGCUCAGGAUGAACGCUGGCGGCGUGCCUAAUACAUGCAAGUCGAACGAGAACAAUCGGAUCUUCGGAACUGAGAAAUUCUAGUGGCGAACGGGUGAGUAACGCGUUGGUGACCUGCCCCGAAGAGGGGGAUAACAGUUCGAAAGGACUGCUAAUACCCCAUGAGCUCAUGAGAGUUAGAGGUCUUGUGAGGAAAAGGAGAAAUCCGCUUUGGGAGGGGCCUGCGUCCCAUCAGCUAGUUGGUAGGGUAAAAGCCUACCAAGGCGAUGACGGGUAGGGGACCUGAGAGGGUGGCCCCCCACAAUGGAAAAAACACGGUCCAUACACCUACGGGUGGCAGCAGUAGGGAAUAUUGCUUAAUGGACGAAAGUCUGAAGCAGCAACGCCGCGUGUGCGAUGAAGGCCUUCGGGUUGUAAAGCACUUUUUGUAGGGAUGAGGAAGGACAGUACCUGCAGAAUAAGCCUCGGCUAACUACGUGCCAGCAGCCGCGGUAAAACGUAGGAGGCGAGCGUUAUCCGGAUUUACUGGGCGUAAAGCGCGUGUAGGCGGAUUACUAAGUUGGCUGUGAAAGCUCCUGGCUUAACUAGGAGAGGUCGGUCAAUACUGGUAGUCUAGAGUAUGUGAGGGGGAGGUGGAAUUCCGGGUGUAGUGGUGAAAUGCGUAGAUAUCCGGAGGAACACCAGAGGCGAAAGCGGCCUCCUGGCACAUGACUGACGCUCAGACGCGAAAGCUAGGGGAGCAAACGGGAUUAGAGACCCCGGUAGUCCUAGCUGUAAACGAUGUAGACUUGGCGUUGGUGGGGUCAAACCCAUCAGUGCCGGAGCUAACGCAUUAAGUCUACCGCCUGGGGACUACGGCCGCAAGGUUAAAACUCAAAGGAAUUGACGGGGACCCGCACAAGCAGCGGAGCGUGUGGUUUAAUUCGAUUUACACGAAGAACCUUACCAGGGUUUGACAUGCAAGUGGUAGUGAAGCGAAAGCAGAACGACCCCUCGGGGAGCUUGCACAGGUGCUGCAUGGCUGUCGUCAGCUCGUGUCGUGAGAUGUUCGGUUAAGUCCGCUAACGAGCGCAACCCUCGUCGUGUGUUACAAGUGUUACGCGAGACCGCCGGUCAUAAACCGGAGGAAGGUGGGGAUGACGUCAAGUCAGCAUGGCCUUUAUGUCCUGGGCUACACACACGCUACAAUGGCCAGUACAAUUGGUAGCGAAGUCGCGAGGCGGAGCCAAUCCGUAAAAGCUGGCCCCAGUUCAGAUUGUAGGCUGCAACCCGCCUGCAUGAAGAUGGAGUUGCUAGUAACCGCAGGUCAGCAAUACUGCGGUGAAUACGUUCCCGGGUCUUGUACACACCGCCCGUCACGUCAUGGGAGCUGGCAAUGCCUGAAGCCGGUAUUCUAACCCGCAAGGGAGGGAGCCGUCAAAGGCAGGGUCGGUAACUGGGACGAAGUCGUAACAAGGUA